rnacentral:rRNA from 1 species
UACGUAGGUCCCGAGCGUUAUCCGGAUUUAUUGGGCGUAAAGCGUGCGCAGGCGGUGUGAUAAGUCUGAAGUGAAAGGCGGUGGCUUAACCAUAGUAUGCUUUGGAAACUGUUUAACUUGAGUGCAGAAGGGGGGAGUGGAAUUCCAUGUGUAGCGGUGAAAUGCGUAGAUAUAUGGAGGAACACCGGUGGCGAAAGCGGCUUUCUGGACUGUAACUGACGCUGAGGCUCGAAAGCGUGGGGAGCAAACAGG